rnacentral:rRNA from 1 species
AUUGAACGCUGGCGGCAGGCCUAACACAUGCAAGUCGAACGAGUGGCGGACGGGUGAGUAAUGUCUGGGAAACUGCCCGAUGGAGGGGGAUAACUACUGGAAACGGUAGCUAAUACCGCAUACCAUCGGAUGUGCCCAGAUGGGAGUAGCUAGUAGGUGGGGUAACGGCUCACCUAGGCGACGAUCCCUAGCUGGUCUGAGAGGAUGACCAGCCACACUGGAACUGAGACACGGGCCAGACUCCUACGGGAGGCAGCAGUGGGGAAUAUUGCACAAUGGGCGCAAGCCUGAUGCAGCAAUGCCGCGGGUAUGAAGAAGGCCUUCGGGUUGUAAAGUACUUUCAGCGAGGAGGCGUUACUCGCAGAAGAAGCACCGGCGAACUACGUGCCAGCAGGCGCGGUAAUAC